CGAGGGUGCAAGCGUUAAUCGGAAUUACUGGGCGUAAAGCGAGUGUAGGCGGUUACUUAAGUCGGAUGUGAAAUCCCCGGGCUCAACCUGGGAAUUGCAUUCGAUACUGGGUAACUAGAGUUUGGUAGAGGUAAGUGGAAUUCCGGGUGUAGCGGUGAAAUGCGUAGAUAUCCGGAGGAACAUCAGUGGCGAAGGCGGCUUACUGGACCAAAACUGACGCUGAGGCUCGAAAGCGUGGGGAGCAAACAGGAUUAGAUACCCGAGUAGUCC
rnacentral:rRNA from 1 species